rnacentral:rRNA from 1 species
GGCCAGCAGCCGCGGUAAGACGAAGGUGGCGAGCGUUGUUCGGAAUCACUGGGCAUAAAGCGCACGUAGGCGGCGGCGUAAGUCGGGUGUGAAAUCCCUCGGCCCAACCGAGGAACUGCGCCCGAUACUGCGUUGCUUGAGGAUCAGAGGGGUGCACGGAAUUUCCGGUGGAGCGGUGAAAUGCGUUGAUAUCGGAAGGAACGUCGGCGGCGAAAGCGGUGCACUGGCUGAUUUCUGACGCUGAGGUGCGAAAGCCAGGGGAGCAAACGGGAUUAGAUACCCCGGUAGUCCUGGCCGUAAACGAUGGGUACUAGGUAGGGGGGUGCCAAACGCCUCUCUGCUGGAGCGAAUGUAUUAAGUACCCCGCCUGGGAAGUACAGUCGCAAGGCUGAAACUCAAAGGAAUUGACGGGGGCCCGCACAAGU